GAUGAACGCUGGCGGCGUGCCUAAUACAUGCAAGUCGAGCGAACAGACGAGGAGCUUGCUCCUCUGACGUUAGCGGCGGACGGGUGAGUAACACGUGGAUAACCUACCUAUAAGACUGGGAUAACUUCGGGAAACCGGAGCUAAUACCGGAUAAUAUAUUGAACCGCAUGGUUCAAUAGUGAAAGACGGUUUUGCUGUCACUUAUAGAUGGAUCCGCGCCGCAUUAGCUAGUUGGUAAGGUAACGGCUUACCAAGGCAACGAUGCGUAGCCGACCUGAGAGGGUGAUCGGCCACACUGGAACUGAGACACGGUCCAGACUCCUAAGGGAGGCAGCAGUAGGGAAUCUUCCGCAAGGGGCGAAAGCCUGACGGAGCAACGCCGCGUGAGUGAUGAAGGUCUUCGGAUCGUAAAACUCUGUUAGUAGGGAAGAACAAAUGUGUAAGUAACUAUGCACGUCUUGACGGUACCUAAUCAGAAAGCCACGGCUAACUACGUG
rnacentral:rRNA from 1 species